rnacentral:rRNA from 1 species
UACGAAGGGGGCAAGCGUUGUUCGGAAUUACUGGGCGUAAAGGGCGCGUAGGCGGCCGAUCAAGUCAGGCGUGAAAUUCCCGGGCUCAACCUGGGGGCUGCGCUUGAUACUGAUUGGCUUGAAUGCGGGAGAGGAUAGUGGAAUUCCCAGUGUAGAGGUGAAAUUCGUAGAUAUUGGGAAGAACACCGGUGGCGAAGGCGGCUAUCUGGCCCGUAAUUGACGCUGAGGAGCGAAAGCCAGGGGAGCAAACGGG